GUGUGGGCAGGAACAGUCCAGGGUCUGUCAGUCAAGGUCAGUACUAACAGUGUUAGGAACUGGGUACAACUUGAGGGAGCUUGCAGCAGGUCAGAUUCUCCAUGAAGCAAAAACUGAAGAGGAAAUUAGCACUCAGGAUGUUUAAGGAACACUCCUGGGUUCAAACCUGCUGAAGGAGGAGAAAGAAGUAGGAGUUGAUGAAGGAAAAAGUAAACUGUGAUGCAAAACUAAGGGUACCCUUGUUACACCCUUAGGGAGCUCUGGAGCUAGAAUGGCUUUUCAGAGCUGUCCUAAGUUGGGCCGAGAUAACCAGGCCUUUAUACUCCUUCCUAUAUGAAUCAGCCGUUGGAUGUAGAGUCCUUAGGAAGGAACACAACAUUGGCUGUGUACCUCUCCGUAUAUGAAGCAAUCCCUGAAGAGGCUUACAGCUGAAGGCUGUCUGCCGAGUACACUCCCAGGAACUGGGGCAAUAUGUCGUCUUCAAAGGAGAAUCUGGAUGGUGCAUCAUUGUGUCCACCACAGAUCUCAAGAUCACCAAAUCCGGACUGGCAAUGCAUAAGAGGCAUGAAGUUCUGUGAAGGGUGUUAUCAUAUGUUUGUCCUAAGAGAAGCAGUGUGGAAGAUACUGCUUGGAUGGCUACUGAAUUCCCAGUGAUUCUGCAUUCCUUGGAAAUGGGCCUAGUGACCAGAGACAUCCUAAACUCAAAUGGCAGGGAAAAAAAAACACUGCCAUCUAUUCUGACCUCUGAAGUCACCAUGCCCAUUAACUGAGGAUGAAGAAGACAGAAGGAAUACUGAAUGUCUGAAGAGAGAGAAAACGUUAUAAAAUUAUCCUUUCAAAAGAUGGAAGAAUAAAUUCACUUGGCAAAUGUGAUAUGGACUCACCUGAGGUUUGAAGUCAUCCAAAAAGAAACCAAAAAUCAUGGUUUUGAGAUUUUGUCCAAAUUCCUUCAUUAUCUCAGGUACAAAUGAAAAAAAAUUAUUCUAAUGUAGUUGGGUUUAAUGAGAGUUGAGAUUUUUCUAAGAAGUAAGGUAUAGGGGAAAGAAGGUAAGGUAGUUAAAGGUACCUAAGAAAUUAUUAUAAAAAUAAAUCAUGAACUGUAAGUUGAUAAGGAGGGAAAUGGGCAUAUAAGGGGGAUCAGGGGCAUUGAAAGGAUAUUAGGAUCAAUGGUUUGACUUUCUAAUGGUAUUGAAGAAUUAUAAAAGCAGGAAUAUGGAAGGGAUGGACUGAAAAGAAAGGAGAUGAUACAAGUAUUAUUGUAUGUUUUCACAUUUUAUCAUUUCUGAAAAAGGAAAGAUAAUGGCAACUUAAUUUAGUAAAAUAUGGUAAUAAUUGAUAAGGUCUAGAAUAUGAUAAUAAAUAGUGUUGCUGAGGUGGGUGAAAAUCAACAAACUGAAUGAAGAUCAACAUUCAUUAAAACAUUGAAUGUGACAUUAUCAAAUGACAGGAGUAGUGAUAAGAACAUCGGAAUACAGGUGUUUUCUAAAGUGAUUUCUAACUCUCAUAUGCUAUGAUUCUAUUAUUAAAACAAGUACAGGCAAACUUUUUACUUGAUUUACUUUCUAUAUACAAUGAGACUAAAAGAUAUCCAUCAACUGACCAGGGUCUACAGGGUAUAUUAUAAGUUGAAUUGAAAUGUCACGGGGCUGUCCUAAGUUCAAAUCAAGGUCAAAGAGAAAGACAGACCUUUACUUUUGGAUCUGUCACAAUAACAAGUAAGUGCUAUGAACUACCUGCAAAAAAGAUAAGAUGCUACCUGUGUAGAUGACAUGGUGAUGAGUGACAAGUCGUGGAUACUGUUCCAUAGUUUCAUUCUUAAUCUAAAUCACUUAGACAAGAAUCAUUAACUCCUUUGAUCAGAAGUUUUUCCUGCCCAUACAAUUAUAUACAAUACACAAUCACUCUAGGAGGGCAUAGUGUCAUGAAGGAGAAAACGAUAGACUUGUUUUUCCAUACUCUGUAGGUACAUAGUUAAGUAUUAAUUCCAUAAAGGUUUGAUGAUGAUGACCGGUGGUGGUGAUGAUGAUGAUGGU
rnacentral:lncRNA from 10 species